rnacentral:rRNA from 1 species
GACGAACGCUGGCGGCGUGCUUAACACAUGCAAGUCGAACGAAAAGAGGGAAAGAGCUUGCUCUUUCCGGAAUUGAGUGGCAAACGGGUGAGUAACACGUAAACAACCUGCCUUCAGGAUGGGGACAACAGACGGAAACGACUGCUAAUACCGAAUAAGUUCCAAGAGCCGCAUGGCCCAUGGAAGAAAAGGUGGCCUCUACCUGUAAGCUAUCGCCUGAAGAGGGGUUUGCGUCUGAUUAGCUGGUUGGAGGGGUAACGGCCCACCAAGGCGACGAUCACUAGCCGGUCUGAGAGGAUGAACGGCCACACUGGAACUGAGACACGGUCCAGACUCCUACGGGAGGCAGCAGUGGGGAAUCUUCCGCAAUGGGCGAAAGCCUGACGGAGCAACGCCGCGUGAGUGAUGACGGCCUUCGGGUUGUAAAACUCUGUGAUCCGGGACGAAAAGGCAGAGUGCGAAGAACAAACUGCAUUGACGGUACCGGAAAAGCAAGCCACGGCUAACUACGUG